GCCUGGGUGGCUCAGUUGGUUGAGCAUCUGACUUCAGCUCAGGUCAUGAUCUCACAGUUUGUGAGUUAUAACCCCACGUCAGGCU
rnacentral:tRNA from 1 species